GGAGGGACCUGGGUAGAAGGAGAAGCCGGAAACAGCGGGCUGGGGCAGCCACUGCUUACACUGAAGAGGGAGGACGGGAGAGGAGUGUGUGUGUGUGUGUGUGUGUGUGUGUGUAUGUAUGUGUGUGUUUUAUCUUAUUUUUCUUUUUGGUGGUGGUGGUGGAAGGGGGGAGGUGCUAGCAGGGCCAGCCUUGAACUCGCUGGACAGAGCUACAGACCUAUGGGGCCUGGAAGUGCCCGCUGAGAAAGGGAGAAGACAGCAGAGGGGUUGCCGAGAGAAAGGCCUAUUGGAGGAACCUGAGCAGGAGGGGUAAGGAUUCUGCCUUGAGGAGAAAAGAGCUGGGGUAAGUGGGCACUGGAGGAAAGAGGGGCAUGAAGGUCUUGGAGCAGGAACGUCCAGAGAAGGGACCUCUCCAUUUUCCAUCCCUCUGAGAGGCCUGGGAGAGGUGAGAGGCUGAACGUGCAACAGGAGGACUUGGG
rnacentral:lncRNA from 1 species